rnacentral:lncRNA from 1 species
AAAGAAAGUAACAUGUAAGUUGUAACUUUAAAAAAUCUGAUAUAUAUAGAUACGAUUAAGAAUGACAAAUACAAUAUGAUUUCAUAAUCUGAGGGAUGUUGUUAAAAAUUAAAGGAUAUAUUAAUUUCUAUCAUUUUAUAAUGUUGAUCUUGAAGUUUAUACGUUUCGGGCGAAAUAUUUUCUAGAUUUUAAAUCAUUUCAAUCCUAUUAAUCAUAAUGAAAUAUUUGCCAAUGAACAUUAGUAUCUUCAAACAAAUUGUAAAUUACCAAUAUUUUAAUAGUUUUUUUUUCUAAAAUCUAUUACGAUAACGUUUAUGACCAUUACUGAAGUUAAUGGAAAAAAAUCUGUCUUAAGAUGUACCUUAUUCCGUAAUGUUUCAGAAAUGUGGUAUUAUGAUUUCCACUUCAUUGAAAUAUAAAUGAAUUUGUUAGUUUUAUUGUAUUUCUAAAUCGCAUGCAAACAUAUACGAUAUAUUUGUGAAAACUGAUCAUAUACACACUUGCAUGUGUAACAGUGUAUUAGAUAUCAAAUAGAGUAUUUAUUUCUUAAUCUUAUUUAAAAAUAUUAUCUAAAUUCAUUGCAAGAACAUGUUAUUUGUAUAUAAUUAUACGGACUCGGCUGAAUUUAUUUUUUUUGUCCUUAGGGGGGGGGGGGGGUGCGGCAAAAAACUAUAUCACACAGACGGAUAUUUAUAAGAGAAAAGACUAUAAAUAAGUGUCUGAAUUACUUGAAGUAGCUUUUCUUUUAAAUAUACAAUUUUACAUUUUAAUAUAAAUUUAUAGGUCAGGCAUUUGAGUACUACAGAAGACAAAAUAAAUCGGAGUGCAAAAGGAAAAAGAGAGAACUAGGAAUAAUAAGAAUUAUUGACAACAUCCUGGCUAGAAAAUGCAUUGGAAUGGAGAUAGGGAAAAAAUGCAUUCUACCAUUUGAUAGCCCAGAAUGAAUAACUUUAAGAAAGUAAGUUAACAUAAUAGCCAUUCUUUAUGCUACAUCGGAUUCGAAUUUCACAGAUAUAUAUGGAUAACAUGUUUAAUACUACCGUUAAUGCUAGUGUAUUAAGAUUUGACUUUGUAUUUUUUUUUUAACUAGUUUUAUAUAUUUACUAAGAACCUUUUUUGACAAAGUUUUCUGUAACCCUUUCUACACUCAAUUGUCUUGCUUAACCUACCUAGCUUGGUGAAGUCUAACGAUUAUGGUAAAGCAUGCACUAUGCUUUUUGCCUUGUCUUGUAUAGGCUAGGGAAAAUAUUAAAAAAAGGUAUUUUUUCUAACUAUUGUACAAAAAUGUAAUGUGCCAGGACACCAGAAACAAUGUAUUUUUUUUAAUUUUUUUUUUUAGGAGGAUUUAAUAUAUUCAAAAUAUACAUACAUUGAGUACUCAUUUAUUCAUUACUUUAUUACAGAGUCAGUGAAAUAACUUUUAUGAAAAUAUGCUAAACUGGAUAAAGGAUUUAACAUGAGACGGAGCCAGAAAUAGUGACAAAACAAAGUGUAGCAGAAAACAAAAGGAAAACUCUUGUGAAUAAAAACCAUGUUGGAAUACAGAACUAGAAAAAUAGCUGUAUAAAAUGAAUUAUCAAUGCCUUCAUACAGAGCUUGGAUAUUUCUACAUAAACUGUAAUGAUAUUAUGCAAACGGGAUAAAUGAAUUAGCAUGACUAGACUUUAUAAUUUUCAUUCUAGAUCUGAUUUAGCAACGUAUAGAUACAAAACAGAUUUUUUAAAACUUUGCUGUUUGUCUAGCUAAUAAUACAUUAUAUUUAAUCAUACCUUUGUAUUUACAUUAUUUAAGAAAAUUGGGUAACAUGGAUAUGUUGAUUGCAUUCAUUAAAAUUUGGGUAAAAUUCAGAAGUACAAUUCCUGGAGAGACUGAUUGGUUGUUGGUUACUGAAACGUCCAUUGGCAAAUAUUUCAUGCAUGUUCAGGAAGAUGGAGAGAAAGCGGCAAAUACAAAAUUUUCGUGUAGUAUGUAAGACACAACAUGGUAUAGUGGAUAUGAAAAAGCAAUAAUUGCAACAUUUAAAAAAGUAAUAGUUUCGCCAUUUUGAACUGAUAUAAGAACCAGGAGUUAUUGCAGUUGUUGCCUGGAAGGGAUUUUAGUAUCCUUCAUUUGGAUAAAAAGGUUUAUAGAUU